rnacentral:rRNA from 1 species
ACGAACGCUGGCGGCGUGCCUAACACAUGCAAGUCGCACGAGAAAUCCUGGGCAACCGGGAAAGUAGAGUGGCGCACGGGUGAGUAACGCGUGGGUAACCUGCCCUUGAGUUGGGGAUAACCCCGCGAAAGCGGGGCUAAUACCGAAUAAUAUGUCAGUCUCUAUGGGGAUUGAAAUCAAAGGUAGCCUCUGCAUGCAAGCUAUUGCUCAAGGAUGGGCCCGCGUACCAUUAGCUUGUUGGUAGGGUAAUGGCCUACCAAGGCAACGAUGGUUAGCUG